rnacentral:rRNA from 1 species
GAUUAACGCUAGCGGCAGGCCUAAUACAUGCAAGUCGAACGGCAGCGGGUGUAGCAAUACAUGCCGGCGAGUGGCGCACGGGUGCGUAACGCGUAUGCAACUUACCUAUAACUGGGGAAUAGCUCUCGGAAACGGGAAUUAAUACCGCAUAAUAUCACGAUUAGGCAUCAUAUUGUUAUCAAAACUCCGGUGGUUAUAGAUAGGCAUGCGUGACAUUAGCUAGUUGGUGAGGUAACGGCUCACCAAGGCUACGAUGUCUAGGGGGUCUGAGAGGAUGAUCCACCAAACUGGUACUGAGACACGGACCAGACUCCUACGGGAGGCGGCAGUAAGGAAUAUUGGACAAUGGCCGCAAGGCUGAUCCAGCCAUGCCGCGUGCAGGAUGAAGGUGCUCUGCAUUGUAAACUGCUUUUGUUCGGGAAUAAACCCCUCUACGUGUAGAGGGCUGAAUGUACCGAAAGAAUAAGGGUCGGCUAACUUCGUGCCAGCCGCCGCAGUAA